CCUAUACGUUGCCUCGGCGGAUCAGCCCGCGCCCCGUAAAACGGGACGGCCCGCCCGAGGACCCUAAACUCUGUUUUUAGUGGAACUUCUGAGUAAAACAAACAAAUAAAUCAAAACUUUCAACAACGGAUCUCUUGGUUCUGGCAUCGAUGAAGAACGCAGCAAAAUGCGAUAAGUAAUGUGAAUUGCAGAAUUCAGUGAAUCAUCGAAUCUUUGAACGCACAUUGCGCCCGCCAGUAUUCUGGCGGGCAUGCCUGUUCGAGCGUCAUUUCAACCCUCAAGCUCAGCUUGGUGUUGGGACUCGCGGUAACCCGCGUUCCCCAAAUCGAUUGGCGGUCACGUCGAGCUUCCAUAGCGUAGUAAUCAUACACCUCGUUACUGGUAAUCGUCGCGGCCACGCCGUAAAACCCCAACUUCUGAAUGUUGACCUCGGAUCAGGUAGGAAUACCCGCUGAACUUAAGCAUAU
rnacentral:rRNA from 1 species